rnacentral:rRNA from 1 species
UGGGGAAUUUUGGACAAUGGGCGAAAGCCUGAUCCAGCAAUGCCGCGUGUGUGAAGAAGGCCUUCGGGUUGUAAAGCACUUUUGUCCGGAAAGAAAUCCUUGGCUCUAAUACAGUCGGGGGAUGACGGUACCGGAAGAAUAAGCACCGGCUAACUACGUGCCAGCAGCCGCGGUAAUACGUAGGGUGCAAGCGUUAAUCGGAAUUACUGGGCGUAAAGCGUGCGCAGGCGGUUUGCUAAGACCGAUGUGAAACCCCGGGCUCAACCUGGGAACUGCAUUGGUGACUGGCAGGCUAGAGUAUGGCAGAGGGGGGUAGAAUUCCACGUGUAGCAGUGAAAUGCGUAGAGAUGUGGAGGAAUACCGAUGGCGAAGGCAGCCCCCUGGGCCAAUACUGACGCUCAUGCACGAAAGCGUGGGGAGCAAACAGGAUUAGAUACCCUGGUAGUCCACGCCCUAAACGAUGUCAACUAGUUGUUGGGGAUUCAUUUCCUUAGUAACGUAGCUAACGCGUGAAGUUGACCGCCUGGGGAGUACGGUCGCAAGAUUAAAACUCAAAUGAAUUGACGGGGUCAUAGCUGUUUCCU